rnacentral:lncRNA from 1 species
CAAGAAUGGUUAUUAAUUCAUUUUUUGACUCGUUUGGUAAAGUGGACUGUAGUCUACUAACACGGAACAUGCUCUGAAGUCUUUUUUUUUGUUGCUUAAUUUGUUGAACUGCCCAAGCGUCUCGUUUUGGCAGGUAAUUGAUGCAAUGAAAGAAGUGUGUCCGAUGUUAACAAUAGGACCAACAAUUCCAUCUUUCUAUCUGGAUAAUCGAGUCGAAAAUGACAACAAUUAUGAGCUCAACCUCUUCGAAUUAGAUCUUUCAUCAAACUGCAUUAAUUGGCUUGACACUAAGCCAGCCGGAUCUGUCAUAUACAUAGCAUUUGGUAGCAUGGUCUCUCUCUCGGAAAAGCAAAUAGAAGAAAUUGCAAUGGGCUUAAAAAAUAGCAAUUUCAACUUCUUAUGGGUUGCCAAGGCUUCUGACCAAGAAAAACUCCCUAAAAAUUUUGUCGAAGACGAUAAUGGUUUGUUUGUUACUUGGAGUCCACAGCUAAAAGUACUGUCAAACAAAGCCUUGGGGUGUUUUUUCUCACAUGGGGGAUGGAAUUCGACAAUUGAGGCAUUGAGUAUGGGGGUGCCAAUGGUGGUUAUGCCACAAUGGACGGAUCAAACGACGAAUGCUAAGCUUGUGGAGGAUGUUUGGAAUGUGGGCUUAAGGGUGAAAGUUGAUGAAAAUGGGAUUGUUAGGAGAGAAGAAAUUGAGGGUUGUUUAAGGGAAGUAAUGGAGGGGGAAAGGGGAAAGGAGAUGAAGAAAUCUGCUAGUAAAUGGAAGGAUUUGGCUAAGGAGGCAGUAUCCGAGGGUGGUACUUCUGAUACAAAUAUUAAUGAUUUUAUAUCUAAGUUGAAGAAAAAGCCACAGUGACGAUGCAUAUGAAUAUUUGGUACAUAAAUUUAAGGAGCAAUAUCAUCACCCAAAAUCAAGCGAAGGUAGAUUGCGUGGACAAUCAAGUAUCACAAGGCUGGAGGAUGGACCCAAUGGAAAGUUAAAUGCAUCAGUUCGUGGACUAGACGAAUCGACAAAUUUUCAUUUUUAGUCGCCUUGCCUCAGUUUUAUUUAUUUCCCUUAGUUUGGCUCUUAUGUGUUACUUCUGCCGACACUUUAACAGAUUGGUUUGUUCCAAUGAUUCGAUCAUUCUCUCGAUAUUUUUCUAUUGAAAUCAAAGAAUUCUUUGUCGACUCUUAUCUCCCAAUUAGAUUCCAUCACAUGGCACGAAUAGUAUAUAUUUAAAGGGAAUUUUGCGUUUGCUAAUUGCAUUUCAAUUGUGUUAAGUAAACCAACAAUAGAAUCAACAUGUGUGAUCUUUUGAAUAAAGGGGAUAUGAUUAAAUUUGAAUUCUGAUGGAAUUCUUUGUAUUAUUCUUGGCGAGAUUGAAACUUUUAUGGCCAUUAUUUUGAAAAAAUGGUUUUUUGAGUAAUACUUUUUAGAAAAUGCCUUAUUAAAAGUAGGAAAAAAAUGUUGAAUUUACAUAUAAAAUAUUUUAUUGUGUAAAUUUGUGGUUAAAACGAAUACAAGAAUUAAAUAAUUUUAUAUUAAAGGGGGAUAAAAAGGGCUUAAUAAUACCAUCAUUAUUAUUAGAGUUGAAUCAUUGAAUAUCCAUUCAAUAGCCAUUACUUACAUAUUCACAAAUUAUAAGUGUUUAAAUCAAUUAAAAAUAAAUAUGCACGAAAUACUAGCACGAUAGUAGCGUUUUUGAAAGAAUAAAAAAUAAAAAAUGAGAUUGAUAGUAAUGUAUAAUUAAGUCCCUAUCUGAGUCUAAUUUUUUAAAAUAAAUUUUGUAAAAAAGUAGAUAUUUUGAAGAAUGUAUUGUCAAAAAUUGAGAAAAAAUUUUGAGUAUGCAAGAAAUAUUAUUUUAUUUAAAGAAAAAUGAAUUUUAAAAAUAUAGCUCAAGUAUGGACUAAGAAAAAAAAAAACCUUGUCGGCAGUAUUAUUUAGCUUUUCCCAUUGUUAGGUAACAUAUUUUUUUUAUUCCACAAAUUGGUUAAAAAAAAAAAAGGUGAUUUUUUUAGUAAGCCUCAUUAUUUCUUAUUAAAUUAUAAUUCAUUUCUUUCUCUCUCUUUCUUGUCAUUCACAGAUUAUCUAAUAAAAUAAUAUUACUCAUAAACUUAAAAACUUUUUCUUCUUUUUUUAAUUAUACAUUCUCUAAAAAAAUUACUAUUUAUCUCAUUAUAAUAUGGAAUAAUGGGACCAAACGGCCUAAAUAAAACUAGAAGGGUCCGUUUGAUUGCAUAGAUGAAAUUUAGGUGGAAAGAAAUCGAAUUUCAAGAAAUAGAAUUGCCUAGAAAUUGUUUUACUGAGAAUUGCCAAUUAUUGUGUUUGAUUGAUAUAUUUUUUCACGUGAAAAAUGUUGAAAUAAAGAUAUUUUUUGGUGUUUGUUUGAUUUUACUUUACAUGAAAAUUGUCAAUUAAAUGAAUAGAAUUUAGAGUGUGUUUGAUUGAUAUGGAAAAUAUUACCUAGAAAAGAAAAUGUUUUUCAUCUUUUGUGGAAAAUAAAAACCACCUCUACCCAAGGAAAAUAUUUUCCUUAAAAAAAGAAAAAUUAGUCAUAUUUUCAAAAGUUGGAAAAUGUUUUUCAUGGAAAAAAAUAGCAAUCAAACACUCCAAGUAGAAAUUUAGGUGGAAAACUGAUAUUUUCCAUGAAAAAUAAAUGUAAUCAAAAACACCCUUACUGUAUUGGGGAUAUAAUUUAUUUCCAUUGUUAAAAAAAAAAGCCAAAAAAUUGAUCUAUCUUUUGGUGUUCGUUUGACUUUAUUUUAUAUGAAAAAUAUCAAUUAAAGAUAAAUAUUUUUUUACAAUUAGAGAUACAAUUUAUUUCCAUUAUUAAAAAAAUAAAAAACAAAAAAAAUGGGCAGCCUACCUAGAAAACCAAUUCCCAAGAAAAACCAAGAAAUGUCUAUUUUUCAAGAAAACCACACAAAUGAGUUUCGUGGAAAAUAUUUGCUAUCAAACACUAUUAAAAUGUAGAAAAUAGAAAAAAAAAAUUCAUUUUUCAUGGAAAAAUGCCCAAUCAAACAGGGCCUAAUUACUGUACUAAUUAGUGCCAAGCCUCAAAAUAAAACCCAAAUUAGAAAGACGAAGCCCCUGAAUUAGAUAACUCAGAGAAUUCUUCUUUCCCGAUUUCGAAUUCGACUCCAAUGUUCUUUGCAGGGAGAAAACCUCUGUAAGAUUUCUGGGGAAGAAGGUGAAAUCUUAUGGUAUCAAAUAUUUUGCGUCCCAUUGUAUAUGAUCUUGUUCUGUCCAUUUCCAGGCAAAUAACGGCAAGAAUAUGGGUGGCACUUCCGACAGUCUUGGCUACAUUUUUGGUGUCUAGUUUGAUUCAUGAACUGGUUUUCUAUAACAAUAGAAGAUUGAAACCAACUGAAGAGGUAACGUGCUUCUUCCUGCUUCGUGGAGUGCUGUUGGCUGUGGAAACUGGCAUAAAGAAACCGUUGAAGGGCAAAUUUACUCUGUCUAGAAUUGUGGGCAAGGAAGUACAAAAUCAAUUGCAUUAAUAGAAUUUGUGAAGAAUCAUAAACUGGUUAGGCCCGAUAAUGUUCCUUGUCUAUUCCUAUUAUUUUUCACUUCUUGAAGUGUUCAUCUCUUUUCCUUUUUUUUUUUUUAUUGUUCGUUAUUUUUUAGGGAUUUUGUCACUUUUUUAUUAGUUAUAACUUCUUUUACUGUUUGUCAAUUUUUAGUUUUUAUUACUUUUUUAAUAUAAAAAAUGACAUACAUCACUUUUAAUUAAAAACAAUGUAAUAAGAAAAGUGACAUUAUAAUGUAAUAUUUGAACUCUACAUAAUAAUUUUUUUCUUUCAAAACAUUUUUCAUAUGAUUUUUCAAAAGAUUUCUAAGUUUAAGAGUAUUUUUGAAAUUACCCAUGUUAAUGACGGAGAAAAUUGUGGGCCAACUUGCAACAGUUGUCACACUUGGGCUUGGAAAAAUGAAAUUCAGCACAACAAUCAUUAUUUAAAAAUUUUUUAUUCUACAAAUUCAUUUUCAAUCACACAUUCACAAAAUAAAAUAUUUUGCAUGUUAACAUAAUUAUUUUUUUCUUUUUAACCACACGUUUUCCUAAAAUUUACUAUCACCAAAUAGUAACCAUCAAACAGAAACUUAGUACUUCUUAUCACUAUUCUAUUGAUAUGUGUUACUUCGAGUGGUUAAAAAAUUUCGACUACCUCAUCGUUCACGUAGGCAUUUCCUGAAUACUGGAACACAAGGUUAGGGUGCAAAGGCGUUGAUCGAGAAAAAAGUUUGAUGAUAAUUUGCACUUCAACGACGAAAUCAAUUAUUAGAUCAAGAAUGGAUAUGUGCAAGAGAAAGAGAGAGAGAGAGAGAGAGAAGUGUGAGGAGAUGCGGCAAAGGGUAUAAUAAAAGUAUACCUUAUUAUAAAAUGGGCUCACUUAUAGUCAAGAUUAGUUAGUGAACCAAACUCAAACCGAGGAAGAGGUUACUUCUGUCGAUCCGAUCCAAUCGACAUCAUUGAUGUCUAGUUAGUUAUGGGAUCCCUUUGAUGAGCAGUGUAACUAAUCCAUUGUCUGAUAGUUAGGGUCGGUCCUGAGGUAAGGCGGUUGAGACCUGCGCCUCAGGGCCCAAAGCUGAAGGGGUCCUUAUUUAUAUGGCCCAAUAUUUUUUUUUUUUCAAUUAAAGGUAGAAAUCCCAGGGGGCCUCAUUUCAUCACCUCUCACCUCUCUGCUCCACCGGAUUGGCGACGGCGACACUUCGGCACUCAAGUCUUUCUUUGUCUAUAUACAUGCUUCAAUUUUUAUUUUUAACUUUUUUUUAUAUACUUGAACUGAAAUGUAGUAAAUCGCUAAUUAAAGCGACUCAGACGAGGAUUGAAGUGGUGCGAAGAGUGGAGGCGAAGCAGUGGUUUCUGAAAGAAGAUUUGGCAAAAUUGCUUUCUAAUGGAUUAGAUAUUAACGCCUAUGGAAAUUGGAAGGGUAUAAGUCUAGUUCCUGUUUUGGUUUUAUUCUUCCUCUUUUAUAUUUUUGAAAUUAUUUGUGCUUUGAUUUGAGUGUUCUUCUUGAGUUGAUUGUUAUUAUUAUAUCUAUUUGGUUGAGCUUAUAGAAAAUUUAAUUUUACCCUUCUUUGCAGUACAGGCUUGAACUGGAUUUUUUGAGAAUUUAAAGGGAAAAAAUUGAUAUAUUAUUUGGUGUUUGAUUGACCAAUUCUCAAUAGUUCAAGAUUUUAUAGUGUAUUGCCGUGAAAUGAAGCUCAUCCAUUUCUCUUUAUCUCACUGACUCAAUGAAAAAAGAUUUCCAAUGACGUGAGAAUUCAAAGUCGAAACAGUUAUGUCCAUAGCGCAAAGUGUUGUCAUUAAGUUAAAUUUGAAGCUACAAUUUUUCAAUUUCGGGGACUACUGAUUUACAUUAAAAUUUCCCUUCAGCUCUCUUCUUCUAUUUCUUUUUUAAGUUCUCCAUCUUAUAAUAAACAAACUUUGAAUUUUUAUUGAUAUCUGAUUCUACUUGAACGAGAUUGUGAUAUGGACUAUAAUGCUCAUUCAAUCGGCUCGAGUAUUGCACACAGAUCUGGUUCUUAUUUAACAACGAAAAUCCUUCAUUAAAAGUUCUCUUUUGUAUCUAUGAGCAUUUUGUUGGCAUAUCAUAUCCCUUGAAUGUCUUCUUUGCUUUUCUUAUUAGUCCAUAACAUCUACAAACAUUAAUUAACCUAUGACAGAUGUUUCACACUAGAAUUUAUUCUUACACGGGUGUUUUUUGUUUUCACCUGCAAAACAGACUGAAGAAUUUCUCGCUGGACUUAGCCUCUUGUCAUGCUAUGAUUUUAUUGAGCAGUUGUGCGAAUAUGUUGUAAAGCAGCUUUCAAAAAUGCAAAAGACUGGGUAUGAUUAGAUUACAUUUUCAAAGCUUCUGAUGCAUUUUCUUGCACUUUUGAUGAUUGUGAUGAUCCGCUAGCAUAUCUUUAGUGCACCAUCCAACUAUGGCUUUCUCCCAUGCUCCAUCUGCUUAUAUGUUCUGUGGUUUAUUUAUGCAUUUUUAUUAUAUGCAUCAUUAAAUAUAAACUGCGAUCAAGUCAAAGCACUUAUGCAGGAUAGAAUGCACAGAUUGCAAUGCACUCCCUUAGUCCUAUUGUCCUUCUCCAAUAUUUUUGCAAUAUGAUUUAGCUUUUGUUAUGUUGUUAAUAGAACUGAUUUUGAUAUCUCUUAAUGAGAUACCAGUGCAUGGAUUGGUACUAGAAAUGUAGAACCUUAGCUGUGCGAGUCUUUUUAGAAUGAUGUAUUGAGAUCGAAAGAUUUUGAGCUCCCAUGUAUUCAUGUCUGUCCACUUCAAGAAUGGAUUUAGCCAAGAUCCUUCUUGUGGUCGAAAAUUAUAUUCUACUUCAUGCAAAUGGAGAGAAGAAUGGAGGGGGAGAGAAAUGCAGAGACGUUUUAGGGAUUUACUUAAUGGUUGCUAUUAAAUUUAUCUUUCAUAUACAAUUUAAAUUUAUCUUCAACAAUUAAUUGGUUGUCGUGGUUGUUGUUAAAUUUUGAUUUUAGGAUUGUGACUUGUGACGGUGGAAUUCUCAAAGUGCCGCAUCGUGUCAUUUCAUAAUUUUUGCUCAAUUCAUAUUUUUCAGGUAAACAAUGGCUUGCGCCUGCUUAUUUAUAAAAUAUUAAACAUAUAGGAAAUGUUCGAAGCCUUGUCGGCUUAUAUAUUGCAUUGUAGUAUUGCACUCUUGUAGAAUUAUAUUGACUUUUGUUAGAUUUAAUCGUAGGAUCAAUUGUUUGAGCCCCAUUUUUGGUAUAGAAUGCAUUUCGGAGUAGUAGACAAUUUUAUUUUUUUAUUUUUAUUUUUUUUUGUUUUACAGUUGAGUAUUAAAUUAACAGUUGGUACCAUAAUAUGCAUAUAUUUUACAUGCAUAAUUUUUUUUUUCUUUUUUUGAUGGGGGAGGGGGGCAUAAUUUUUUAACUUCACCUCAGGUCCCCAAAAGCACAGGACCGGCAUUGUUGAUAGUUAUUAUGUAGCCAAAGCAAUGUUUUUAAUAGUUGAUUUUUAGGAAACAAAUUAUUAUGUAGAAUGCAAGGAUUGAAUUUUUUAUUUUUAGUCUUUUAUGUUUACUCUCCAUAUAUAUAGUGCAAAGAAGAGCCUGAUGUAAGGAUUGAUAUAUAUAUUUUAUUUUAAUGUUUACUCCCCAUAUAUAUAGUGCAAAGAAGAGCCUGAGGUAUGAUGAAGUUCAACUAUAACAAAUCUAUAUAAUAAUGGAGUAUUUGGGUUAAAUAAGAUUUGAAUUUUUUUUUCAAAAAUUGUGAAUUUUCCAUUCCCAGAAAAUGGGGACUUGUGACUAUCUAAGCACUAUCAAGUGCUAGUUCACCGUUUACUUUUUCCUUGCAUGAUUUCUUCAUCUCCUAUUGCAACUUGGACUCCUUCAAGUCCAAAACAUAUAACAAACUUCCAAUUGAAUUCCAACUAGAAUUUCCAACUAGUUUUCCCAAUAGAGUUCGGGUGACGCCCUAAUUCUAACAUCUCACUAUGACAUUUUCAAAUACAAGACCUCUGAACAAACUAGGGUCCGAAGUGAGGUGGAAUCAACAAUGACAUGACAAAAUGGAAGGAACUUUUGUCACUUUUAAAUGUUUGUUAAUUUCAACUUAUAGGUUGUGUGUUCAUAAAUAUCAUGUUCUAUGUUUAGUCAAUACAAGUGAUCAUAAUCAUAAAGAGACAUGUAGAAGAAAAUUAAUCAUCCCCUAAAUCUAUUCUAAGAUUCUUAUUGGUGUUUGUCACUUUUUUUUUUUUUGGUUACUUACAACUUAUAGGGUGUCGUGUCCCUAACAUGAAAUUGUUUACUAUAUUUAGUUAAUAGAUGUUAAUAUAAUCACCAAGAGACAAGAUGUAGAAGAAAAUCUCUAAAAGAAGUAUUUAUUGAUAGUUCAUUUGAAUUUCAUUUUACUGAAUUUAAUAAUGUGGAGUAAGGUUUUAUCUAAGAUUUUAAGAAAAAUUAUGCCACAUGUUUUGUGACAUUUUCAUUAAAAAGUGAUGUAACAUGUUAUGCCAUUUUUUAAUAAAAUCAAUUUCUUAUACAAUAAUACAUCUAUGGCUAAGCUUUCAACUUGCUCAUAACAAUUUCUUUUAAAAUGUUAAUUUAUUUUGUAUUCUAUUAAAUAUUAAUUAUGGUCCGUUUGAUUGUAAAGAUGGAAUUUGGAUAGAAAGAAAAUCAAUUUUCGGGAAUUAAAUUGCCUAGAAAUUGUUUUACUAGGAAUUGUCAAUUAUUGUAUUUGAUUGGUAUAAUUUUUCACGUGAAAAAUGUUGAAAUAAAACUGUUUUUUAGUGUACGUUUGACUUUGUUUUAUAUGAAAAUUAUCAAUUAUAAGGAUAUAAUUUAUUGGAUUGGGGAUAUAAUUUGUUUCCAUUGAAAAAAAAAGAAGCCAAGAAAAUCAUCUUCUGUUGGUAUUCGUAUGGCUUUGUUUUAUAUAAAAAUUGUUAAUUAAAGGAAAAUAUUCUUUUACAAUUAGAGAUAAAAUUUGUUUCCAUUGCCAAAAAAUAAAAAAUAAAAAUCGCCCAAUAGCCUAGAAAACCAAUUCCCACCAUAUAGGCGGGAAUUGAAAUUCAAGGAAAACAGGAAAAAUGUUGAUGUGGCAAGGGUAGAUGAAAAACCAAUUCUAUGGGGAAAAAAAUUGGCAUUAAACAUGGCAAAAGUGGAAAAUAGAAUUUCUAUUUUCAAUGGAAUUCCCACCCCGAUCAAACAGGCAUGAGUUUCCUUGAUAGAGAAAAAGUGUACUUUUUUACUGGAAAACUGAUACCACUCAAUAAAAAAACCUCACUUGACUUUACACUAUAUUUUUACAUUUAAAACAUUUUUUAUAUGCCCCCGUCUGGGCGUGAUUUGUGAAAUGGGAGAAUCAAUUCUCCUGUUUUAUUAGUUGGCCCCCGUCUGGGCGUGAUUUGUGAAAUGGGAGAAUCAAUUCUCCUGUUUUUCGUCACGUGCGCUUGGGAGCUCCACUUCUGCUGCGUCGAGGUCUGUCUCCGCUCUUAGGAUUGCUUCGUCCACCACACCCGCCCGUCGAAGAAAGUUAUGAAUGGCCAUAGUUGCAAUUACAACAUGUAUUUGCACAUCAAACGCAUAACUUGGCAUACGAUUGAGUAUUUUCCAACGACUUUUCCAAAUGCCAAAUGCACGUUCGAUGACGUUCCUGCAGGAUGAGUGCUUGAAAUUAAAUUUUUCGCGGGCAUUUCGAAAGUUACGUCUGCGACCAGUGUCUUUGUCAUAGAAUUGUUGAAAAUGGUACAAUAUAUCCGAACCCUUAUAGGGCGCCAUAUACCCAGGUCAAUGAGCAAAUCCCGAGUUAACCAGGUAAUAUUUUCCAGGUGCAGGUUGCGAAAACUCAAUCACGGGAUUAUGUAUUGCCCAAGCCAAGAUUCGAGCAUCGUGGGAGUUUCCCAUUGUACCUGCAAACACGAAUGUAAAGUACAAAUUGAAAUCACGUCCCGCUAGCACAAUCUGGGUUGGAAUUCCUUUUCGUCCGAUAAAACUCACCCACUGCUCCCAUGGAAGGACGGCUCUAACAUGGGUUCUGUCAAUCGCACCAAUGCAAUCCCAAAAAAUGUGAUGCUUGUUCAGAUUCAGAACGUAAUGCUUGGCAUAAUUAUUGUAGUUUGGAUCCGGUCAAAUUACUCGUCGAGAGAAUUCGAGGACCGCUUGAAGCACAAGUUUGAAGUAGUGUCCAAUGGUUUCCAAUGAAUGGUUGAAAAGGGUCUGCACCUGUCUGUACCCCUUUCCAUGCGCUAAUAUGCAAAGAAACAUACCAACAUGUUCAUAAAUAUCUAUGUGUUGAUGACUGCGAAGCCCGUACUCGUCACGCAGCAUAUGUGCAAACGCUCACAGCAUGAAGGGAUACAUGUGGAACUCGGCGUAGCAUUGUUGAGGACUACAGUUCACUGCGUCCAACAUGAACAUAUGACCAUUUCGCGCGAACGGAUAUUGCGAAACACGAGUGCCUUGUUCGCGAUAGUAGUUUCUGAGAGUAACCUCAUUCAUUUGACAGGACCGAAACCACUCCAUAGUCUACUUGCAAUUCUUCCAUGAAUGCCUCGUCACCCUGUUCGUCCACCGCAUCAGAGGUCGGGUGCAACUCGUAGGUGAAAUCCGAAUGUGUCAUACGACCACAAUCAUAAUAUGAUAUCCAAGACUAUGACUUUUGCAUGUUGUAAACUUCUACUACAUUUAUGUGCCUUUUAUAGAACGAUUUGUCUUUCAAGCUAUGGCCAGAGCAACCAAUAAUUUAUGUGAAGAUGGGACUGAAGUGACUAGUCCACCAACUAAUGGAGCACUUGUUUGACCCAAAUAUGAACAACAUUCAAAAGUUUGAUUGUCUGUACAUCUGCUUGUAAUUUAACAGAAUCAAACUUUUCGCAUGCAUAUGAAAAUAAAACGUUUCAACUGCAGAAAGCAAACCUAGGCAACUGUCCCUCGUACAUACUAGACACAAACAAAAUGUCGUCACAUCAAAUAUAGUACACGUAAACAUAAACAAUAGUAAGAAAAAUUUAAAACGUCUUACGGAUGUAUACGCAAUCUACACAAACAUAUAUCACCGUGGCUGUGUUUUCCUAUAUUCCUGAUAGCUCCACUCCACCCAGGCAAACUUGUCAUUUGCACUGUCUUGCAUGUCCAGUACUUCUCUAUUGGCCUUCUGCAAAAGGAACUUGCACGUGUAAAAGUACAGAUCCGUUUGCUUUUGGAGUCAACCCGUAGCCAGCAACUCGCUCAUGCAUGUCUUCGGGUUGGACACAACCGCUCUAAUGAAGUGGUCAAUUUUUGCAGCAAUCUUCUCACUGACAGAGGUAGCACGGUCCACAGAGUAGGACACGUCCCGAGAUGAAAACUUCUUUUUCUUCACCUUCGAUCGCUUCCCGGCGGCCUUCCGUUUAUCCCCGCUAUGCCGGCCGGAUUCAUCCAUGGUCGUAGAGGGUGGUGCAGCUACACCGCCCUUGUCGCUUGAGCUGCUACUCUCUACAUCGACUGGGAUCUUGUUACGGUGGUCUUCGUGUGUACUGUCUUCGAACAUGGCUAAGCCAGUGCGGCAAUGCUUGGCUAGGUGUGACUGCGUACUUAUCGCAGUUAAAAACAUCCCCGAAUAAAACUUUGUAUCGGUACAACUCUCGGUAGUCCUUGUCCUUGUACUCUUUCCUCUCCUGAAGCAAUACAAAGCAGAUGAGAUUCACAUCUUUUGCAAACGAAGUGUGAAAGAAGCAAUUACAAUUGACUGAAACAAAAAAUUGGGAUUGCGUCUAUUUCAGAAAAUAACAACAAUGUCAACCAUUCCUACCCAUGCACAUAAAUGUAUAAAUGAAACAUAAACACAAUUACAAUAACACUUUAUGUCAAUGUGAAGUUGAUGGGAAUAUGUUUAUGCAUGAUGUUGUUCUAACGGUUUCUGAUCCUUUUAAUAUCAACAGGUUAGAUAUACUAUGUAAUGUCAUUCUCCUUCCUUUGGCAACUUUAGGCCCUUUGAUUUAUUUUUGCUUAUAUUGCAUUGUUGACUCGUGCUUGCAGUUUUCUUUUAAAUAGUUUUAUUUGUUAGUCCUGUGCGUAUAUAGUAUUUUAAGGGUUCAUCACUUGCAUAUUUCUCUAGUUAUUAUCUUUUAUCUUACUUUUUUGCCUAGUAUGAUAUAUUCUAAAGAUGCAGUGACUAAUUUACUUUUUGCCACGAAUGCAAUGUCUCUGAAAUUUUAUUCUAAAGAUGCAGUGGAGAAAUGCAGUGACUAAUUUACUUUUUGCAGUUAUAGUUCUGAAAUUAAAAUUCUCAAAACAUAUCAUUUUAGUUAUAUAUAUAUAUAUGGAUCUGUUGAUUUGUUCUAACAUUUUAUUUUUUAUUUGUAUUCUUAUUUUUGCUAGAACAAAAAAAAAAGGUUAUGUUUAAUGAUUGUUGCCUGAAUUUUUUAUUUUCAAUAUGCAGGCACUUGCAUUUGUUUUUUUGGUUCCUUUCCUAAAAAUUAGUAUUGAACUUAGGCAAUUAUUCAUGAAAAAUAAUCCUUCAAGAACACCAGGAAUCAAUGAGGUCUCUCGAAUUUGGAUAUCAAUAACUCAAUUUGUUCUGAUACUAGUUAUUAUGAUUGUGGCAUAUCUGUUUUAUAAGUACAUUAUUCGCUGCUUCUGUCACAGGAUCUUGAAGUAUGUUAUUGCAGGAAAACUAUCUAAUUUCAUGCUCGUAACCAUAUAUUGGGCCUAUAAUAGUAACCUAUUGAAUUUCCCAAUGCUCGUAACCAUAUAUUAGGCCUAUAACAGAAACAUGUCGAUGAGUAUAUGAUGGUACCUUCAUUUUUCGAUCCCACCACUCCGUCGAGGCGUCGAUCAAGCCAGUGGAUGUGCCGUACGUAACGCCACUGCUGUUGAUCAAUUCUUCAAAUCUCUUGUGUUUUAAGCAAAGUGCAUCCCAUCGAUUUUUCAGGUGCUGCUUGCUCCAUUUGUGCCCUGAGUUGGUGUUAAAUAAGAGAACCAAUGUCUGUCAUCCGUAUUUGGUGAAGCACUUCCCAUUUCGGUGUCCAUCGGUGAUUACGAUCUCACAGGCGGCGACAAAAAUUUGCGUCUCAUAGUCAAUCCAUUGUGCAUGCUUACGAGGCCCCGAUUCACUAUCAACAUGAUGGGCGUUUGAUGUGGAGGAGUUCAGGUGUGGGUGAUAAUUUGGCUGCUGCAAAUUGGGAGGAAAAAAAUGUUAUUCUCCAUCAGCAGAAGCAACCGUUCAUGGCAAUUUACAUUCAACACAAAAAUGAACAUGUUGGAGGCACUCUACCGUACCGAGGAAACGACAGGAUCCAUGGUGGUUCUCUCUCGGUGAGUAAAUUCUUUUUCAACAAGUUACACAAUCGUGUGUGUGUCGGAGAACAGGGAUCGCCUUUUGCUUUUGCAGUUCAACUUCAAGUGCAAAUGUAAUUUUUUUAUGUCAGGCCCUUGUGAAUCAAAUAGUCCAAAGAAAUGUAUAGAUUGGUGACGAGUGAGGAACGUGUAAGGGGAACGAGUAGAAAUCGAAGACACAGAUGCUUACCUACGAUGUUACACGGGAAUGGAGAUCUACGGGGACGUCGAUUGUGAUAGUAGAGUCGCUUGUAUCGGUGGCCAAAGAAGGCGAACGUCGUCACGGCAUAUUGGGAGUUGAAGCUGUUGGCAGGGGCGCCAUCAACCCGUCGCUACAGUCGUUAGAGCAGUGUGGGGGCAACCGGGUUGUUACAGAAACUGUUGCUGGCUAUCGGAAGAUUAUUUUCUCACUAUCGAACAACGAAUGAAGCAGAUAUUGCUGCCGUCGGAGAGCAAGUAGUGUCGGCAGCUUCAUCCAGUGGCGGAGUGGUGUCAGCAGCUUCGUCCAGUGGAGGAGUGCAAACUGAGCGUCUCUUGCUUUUUGAUUUCAUAGAAGAAAGAGAAAUGAGGGUUGGUUUGGCAUGUUAAUUGUUGGGGUAGAAAGGGGAAAAACUAACUGACAUGGGUGUCAGUCUAUUUGAUUCUCAUAUCAGUAGAAGGUGGAAAUGUGGCCGUAGGGAGUAUCAACGGUCAGAAAAUCACUUAAUUUUGGCAAUAAAGUGCGCACAGACAUGGCCAAUGAUUUCUCAAAAUGCCCUUGCUAUUUAGGGGAUUUCCAUAGGUUUCCGAAUAUAAAUGCUAAAAUGUGAUUGAUGCUAAUUCCAUAUCCCCUAGUCCAUUAGGAUAUAAUUUAUAAAAGGGAGCGUUCCUCCUAUACAUGAAUUUGACAAGUAUUUUUGACAAAUAAUCAUGACUUUUAGAUUUAAACAAAUUGAACGGUCAGUAUGCAUUUCACUAGGAUCAUAGAAAAAUUAGUUAUAACCACUUGAGAUCCAUGAAAUACUAAUCGUUGGACUUGCUUCAUCUAAAGGUCACGAUUAUUUGUCAAAAAUACUUGUUCAAUCGGUGUGUAAGAGGAACGUUUUUCAUUUAUAAAAUACCUAUAUUUCACGCUAACUAGAUAUUAAAGAUCUUGUCAUACCUCAUGACAUUUUUCGUUACAUGGGUUGCGUCGACAUACUAUUACAUGUCAAUCUUGGACAAACAAAUGUGGACUAAAUAAUUGAUGAAAUUAAUUGAUAAAUAGAAUUCACAUAAUUUGUUAUCGUGAUCAUGAAUCACUCAAUAGGGGAGAGACGUGAAAGACAAAAUUGGUAAAUUAAUUUAUUGUUAAAUGUGUGAUGUUUUUAAUUAGUUAAUUGAUGUAAUUAUUAGUUGAACAAAAUUAAUUAUCUGGGUUAACUAAUUUUGGGCUUAUUAAAAUAUAUGAGCUCUUUCCUUAUUAUAAGAGGAUCAGAGUUUGGAAAACCAAUAUAUACAUGUCUAGGGUUGAUAUAAAAUAUAACAAGUUUAGUUCGAUUUUUUUCUAAAAAUUAUGUAAAAAACUUAGAAAGCAAAAAAAUGCUCAGCUCCUCUAUACCGUGUAGUAUAAAUUUUUGUCUUCAAAUCUAUCCCAUUUGAAUUAUUGUUAAAGGCUAGAUGAUUGAAAAACCAUGAUAAAUUGAGAACUAGGAAGCGGUGUUAGUGAUCGUGCAAGAGAAAAACAAAACCCUUCAAGUUCGUUUUUCAAAGGUAACGAUUUCUUAUCCAACAUCGCAUGUAAAUAAAUACAGCGAUUGGGUUUAGAGAAUUAAAAUUUAAUUUCGAUUGUGGUAGUGUGACUUAAUUCCAAACUCUCGCAAGGCAAGCCAACCUCCUUUGGUCAGAAUUGCAGACGAUCUAAAGAAGGAAAAGAAAAAUGUAGAUGGAGAUUAAAUUGAAACGAGAUAAGCAAUCUCAUGGAGACAAGUUUUGUCCUUUGCACUUGGGUUAACACUUAACAUGAUUUCAAGACACCUGUUUCCAAAGAUACAACUUCUCUACAAACAAAAUACAACAUCGUAUAAAACUUGGCUAGCAAUUUCGAGUUUGGCCGUACUCUUCUUCACUGGAAUUAUUUUGAAGUUAUGAAGACUCAAAAAACUCGAAAUAAUAAGAACGUAGUAUGUUUGAAGAAAAGAAGAGAGAAACCAAUACAUUUAAAUUGGUACUGGACCGAAAAAAUGGAGUGAAAUGGAUUCAAUUUAAAUAUUUCAACGUGUCUAUUCUCAAUUGUUGUACAUUUUGAUAAGAUUCAAUCUAGACUAUUCGCUCACAUCAUUUCAUAAUGAGACACUAUCUAGUGGUUCAUAUUGCACCCUAUUUAAAUAUACAUGGCUCUUCAAUAUAUACCAAUUCCAUUUAAAAAGUUGCAACAAGUCAUUACACCAUUUGGAGACUUACUAUAGUUCACACAUAUAAACUAUUUAAUUCCAACAAUUUUCGCAAUUGUAACUUAUGAUACCUGAGAUUUUCCUUCUCCAUAGACGGCGGUGGUAGAGCACUUCGGUACUGGAAAUGUCGGUGUUGGUUCUCCAUUUUCUCUUCAUAAUCAAGUCGAAAGUAAGUAGAGAAAAUAGUAAAAAUGGAAGAAUGUAAAUAUCCUACUCCUAAUGAAAUUGAGUUGUGCCUUGGGCCAUUGAUUAUAUAUAAACUUACUAGUCAACUUCGACAUUUGAUCAAGUUAUAACUCGAAUAAAUUCACAUUGUUUUCCUUACCAAACAGCAAAUGCAACUCGAAAGCUAUAAACAUGUGAUCGAAUAUUAUAAAGUUAUAUAAAACACAGAAUUUGAAUUAACAAGAGAGAACCUAUAGUGUCAAUUCAUAUCAUGCGAAAGUAUGACUGCGAUCCUUCAAUCCACUCAUCACAAUUUUUAUCUAAUGUUCAUUGACAAUCAAGGUAUUCCAAAUCUAAAGACCUAUACUCACAUUGUGCUUGUUCCUUGCGAAACAAUAAAUACAAUUCAUGAAUUUUAAACAUGGUUUAAUUAUUAAAAUUGACUCCAUUUACCUAAUUCUUCGUUGUUAAUUAGAAUCAAGAGAACGUAAUGCUCUAGAUCCAAAAGUCAAUAUUCGUGCAGCAUUUGUUUUUAUCAAGAACUCCAAAAUUAUCCAAUUUUUGCGGAAUUAGACGAGCAUGAAAGCCGCAUUAUUCAUUCUGUUGAUGCUAAUUCCACCUACAAUUGAACAAAUCAAAUAUGUGAGUUAUGGAAUUAACUUGAAAAAGAAAAAGGAAAUCAAAACUAAAUUUGAAGAAUGAAGAACAAUGAAUUUCCCUUUUUAUUCGGCUCAGAAAAGUCAAUACAACACCACAAAAGUAGCACCAAAUUGGAAACUUGCAGUCACGGAGAUAAAGGCACACAAAGGCAGAAACUGGGUUUAAAAGCACAUAGCAAGGGACGGUUUUUAUGUUAGUAAAGUGAGGGCAAAAGACUCCAAUUUAUAGGCAAGGGACAAUCAAAUUUUCUAGAUUUAUUUAUUUAUUUAUUUUUUUGGCAAGAUAGAGUUCAAGAAAGUUGAAAUUUGUUACCAAGGAUAAGGAUAGUGCAACCAUCUACCUUCCCGUGAGAAAAGGGAUAGAAAUCCCUUUUUCAAAUUAUCUUUAAAAUUGGAUAUUGAGCACCUAGCCCAAUUGACUGAUUUCCUCCAAAUACCCAACAGGAUUGGGCUACAUCAAUUGUGGUUUGGAUUUAUUAAUAUUCUUCAAUCCUGGGCUUAUAGCAUAGAGGAAAUUACAAAAAAGUAGGUGCUUAAAUUUUCUAAUUCAAAAUUUAGGUGCAAGGUUUAUUUAACCAAAACUCAGGUAUUAAUUCAAUUUAUCCACUAAUACCACUACAAAACCUAAAUUAUUUCCCCUCACUCUUUCACUCUUUUCACUUAACAGUAGGAGUGCCGCCCUUGGAAGAGAGUCUUCGACUGCAGAGGUGUUACCGUCGAAGUCGAACCACCUGAACGGCAACGCCACUACCAGAGAGAACCGUCGUGAGUAGCGGUGUCGAAUGUGUAUUUGUUGGUAUGCCCUGAUUUGAUCGAAGCUUUUCAGAUCGACCAGAUGAUUUGAGCACUGCACACUCCUUUCUCCCCAAUCUCUCCUCUCUAAACGUAGCGACGCUGGCAGCGAUGUUAUCGCCAGAGUCGAAACACCUAUGCAGCAGCGUCACCACCGGAGAGAAUCGUCGCACGAUGUUGAAUUUGUUGGUGUGCCCUAAUCUAAGUGACGAUUUUUAGAUCGGAGCGAUGAUUUGAGCACCGUGCACAUCGGUGCUGAGCCGUGGUUUUGGGGUGGAGGAUUUUUUGGGCGGGGAUUGUGGUUGUGGUGUGAUAGUGUCGGUGGCGUGGUUGAAUUGUUGGUGGUGAGGGUACCAGAGGCGAUGUUUCUACAGUGAUGGUAGAUGCAUUGUUUCAAUGGUGCUAGUAGUGGUUGUGACUAAUUAUAUACUUUGUUCCGUUGGUGCCGUCAUGAUGGCGAUUUUGGUGAUGUGUAUUGGUUUGUUUUUGUUGAGAGGUGGUGGUGGCGAUGGUGUUGGCUAUUGUGCGACUGGAGGAGGUAGUGGAGAGGGGUGGUCACAAAUUGUUAGCAGUGGUCACAAUUUGUGACCUUAGUAUUGGUCGUCAACGGGGAUCGAGGUGGGAUGUUUAGUGUAUGUGACCAACAAUUUGCUAAUUUGUGGCCCACAAUAUAAUUGUGACCUAAAAAUUCUGAAAUUUGUGACUUAAAAGUAAUUUUUCUGAUCUGCAACCAAUUAAUUGUGAUUUCGAAAUAAUCUGUGACGUACAAAAUUUUUAUUUGUGAUCUCGAAAUAAUUUGUCACCAAAUAAAUCUGUGACCUUUAAUAAACGUAUCUGUGAUCAUGAAUCGUAAAAUUGUGACCUUAAUAUAUUUCAUUAAUAAAUAUUUUUAAUUAAUUAACUAAUAAACCUGAUUUUUGCAUUUUAUAAAUUUAAGACUUAGUUUUUGAAGUCUCCAUACUUAAUACAGAAUUUAUGAUUUUUUCCCUAUAGCAUAUAAAAAUGAACGGCCUCAAUUUUUCAUCAUUGUGUGGGGAUUAUCUGGGCAUCACUUACUAAAAUAACCAACACAUUCCAAAUUGUGUGAUUAAAAUGUAAUAAUCGUCAGCAAUUCUGUAUGCAUAUGUAUAGAUAGAUAUUACUGAUAAGGAUAUAUAAACACGUAAAAGCCUCAAGAUCGAGUUCAAAGCCUGCAAUUGAUAAUGGAAAAGCAAAGCAAGGCCUAUGGGGUUCAUGUUUUGGCACUUCCUUACCCAAGCCAAGGCCAUGUAAAUCCCAUGUGCCAAUUCUGCAAGAAGUUAGUCUCCAAAGGAACAAAAGCCACUUUAGCAGUCACCAACUAUAUUUCCAAAUCUACAAGCCCGAAAUCCGACACCGUGGCUAUCGACACAUUUUCUGACGGUUACGAUGAAGGUGGUUUCACGCAAGCUGGUGAUGUCGACAAAUAUCUAGCGCGUUUGGAAAAAAGAGGCUCCAAAACAGUGGCAGAACUCAUUCAGAAGUACCAAAAAUCUAACCAUCCUAUUGAUUGUAUUGUUUAUGAUUCAAUGUUGCCUUGGGCUUUGGAUGUGGCCAAAGAGUUUGGAAUUCUUGGAGCCUGUUUCUUCACACAGGCUUGUGCUGUUAAUUAUGUGUACUAUUAUGUGCAUCAUGGGUUGUUGACACUGCCUGUUUCGUCGCUGCCAGUCGAGAUUCCUGGAUUUCCACCCCUUCAUCUGCCUGAUAUGCCAUCAUUCAUUUAUGUAUAUGGAUCUUAUCCAGGUUACUUCCACUUGGUGUUAAACCAAUUUUCAAAUGUUGACAAGGCUGAUUUUUUGCUUGUUAAUUCGUAUUACAAGUUAGAGGAAAAAGUAAGUUGUUAUUCUAAGAAUGGUUAUUAAUUCAUUUUUUAUGACUCGUUUGGUAAAGUGUAGUAUACUAACACAGAACAUGGCCUGAAGUCCUUUUUUUCAUUGCUUAAUUUGUUGAACUGUAACAAAUGUCUCGUUUUGGCAGGCGAUCGAUGCAAUGGAAGAAGUGUGUCCGAUGUUAACAAUAGGACCAACAAUUCCAUCUUUCUAUCUGGAUAAUCGAGUCGAAAAUGACAACAAUUAUGAGCUCAACCUCUUCGAAUUAGAUCUUUCGUCAAACUGCAUUAAUUGGCUUGACACUAAGCCGGCCGGAUCCGUCAUAUACAUAGCAUUUGGUAGCAUGGUCUCUAUCUCGGAAAAGCAAAUAGAAGAAAUUGCAAUGGGCUUAAAAAAUAGCA